UUUUGGACUUCCAGCCUCCAAAACUGUAAGAAAAUAUUAAUAAAUUUUUGUUGUCUAAGCCACCUAGUCUGUGGUGUUGUGUUAGGGCAGCCCUAGCAUACACCACUAUCCCCUAUCUCAAGGCAAGUGUUGAAAGCAUCCUUCUCACACCUCAGUGUGUAUGCAUGAGACCUACAGACCAGAUCUUUCUUUUACACCUCCAGGAGAAGCAGGGGCUGCACUGAUGUGGAAAUAAGGGACGGAGGUGGAUGGAGCAGCACUCCAUGUAGAAGCACUUAGCAUCUGCUUGAUCAGCUUUUCUAUCAGGAACAUUUUAUCUUUGCCCUCCUGCCAAGAAGGAAAACGAACACAUGGAUGAAUGAUGGCGUGAGGUUGAGAAGCAACUGAUGGCAAAACGGCUGAUUUUCAGAUGGUGAUGGCCAGGGUGCACAGGACACCGGUGAAGGAUGGGAAAAAGAGCAAGAAGAUGAAGAAAGUCAUCAUCUGGGAGGCCCG